rnacentral:misc_RNA from 1 species
UCGAGUUACACAACUCCCAACCCUAUGUGAACCUUACCACUGUUGCUUCGGCGGAUCCGCCCCGGUGCCAACGGCCCGGAACCAGGCGCCCGCCGGGGACCCAAACCUCUGUACCAUGCAAGUCUUCUGAGUGGCGUACGCGCAAAUCAAAACA